UACGAAGGGGGCUAGCGUUGCUCGGAAUCACUGGGCGUAAAGCGCACGUAGGCGGCUUUUUAAGUCAGGGGUGAAAUCCUGGAGCUCAACUCCAGAACUGCCUUUGAUACUGAGAAGCUUGAGUUCGGGAGAGGUGAGUGGAACUGCGAGUGUAGAGGUGAAAUUCGUAGAUAUUCGCAAGAACACCAGUGGCGAAGGCGGCUCACUGGCCCGAGUACUGACGCUGAGGUGCGAAAGCGUGGGAGCAACAGG
rnacentral:rRNA from 1 species